CCAGACAGCCAGGAUGUUGGCUUAGAAGCAGCCAUCAUUUAAAGAAAGCGUAAUAGCUCACUGGUCGAGUCGGCCUGCGCGGAAGAUGUAACGGGGCUAAACCAUGCACCGAAGCUGCGGCAGCGACACUGUGUGUUGUUGGGUAGGGGAGCGUUCUGUAAGCCUGUGAAGGUGUACUGUGAGGUAUGCUGGAGGUAUCAGAAGUGCGAAUGCUGACAUAAGUAACGAUAAAGCGGGUGAAAAGCCCGCUCGCCGGAAGACCAAGGGUUCCUGUCCAACGUUAAUCGGGGCAGGGUGAGUCGACCCCUAAGGCGAGGCCGAAAGGCGUAGUCGAUGGGAAACAGGUUAAUAUUCCUGUACUUGGUGUUACUGCGAAGGGGGGACGGAGAAGGCUAUGUUGGCCGGGCGACGGUUGUCCCGGUUUAAGCGUGUAGGCUGGUUUUCCAGGCAAAUCCGGAAAAUCAAGGCUGAGGCGUGAUGACGAGGCACUACGGUGCUGAAGCAACAAAUGCCCUGCUUCCAGGAAAAGCCUCUAAGCAUCAGGUAACAUCAAAUCGUACCCCAAACCGACACAGGUGGUCAGGUAGAGAAUACCAAGGCGCUUGAGAGAACUCGGGUGAAGGAACUAGGCAAAAUGGUGCCGUAACUUCGGGAGAAGGCACGCUGAUAUGUAGGUGAAGUCCCUCGCGGAUGGAGCUGAAAUCAGUCGAAGAUACCAGCUGGCUGCAACUGUUUAUUAAAAACACAGCACUGUGCAAACACGAAAGUGGACGUAUACGGUGUGACGCCUGCCCGGUGCCGGAAGGUUAAUUGAUGGGGUCAGCGCAAGCGAAGCUCUUGAUCGAAGCCCCGGUAAACGGCGGCCGUAACUAUAACGGUCCUAAGGUAGCGAAAUUCCUUGUCGGGUAAGUUCCGACCUGCACGAAUGGCGUAAUGAUGGCCAGGCUGUCUCCACCCGAGACUCAGUGAAAUUGAACUCGCUGUGAAGAUGCAGUGUACCCGCGGCAAGACGGAAAGACCCCGUGAACCUUUACUAUAGCUUGACACUGAACAUUGAGCCUUGAUGUGUAGGAUAGGUGGGAGGCUUAGAAGUGUGGACGCCAGUCUGCAUGGAGCCGACCUUGAAAUACCACCCUUUAAUGUUUGAUGUUCUAACGUUGACCCGUAAUCCGGGUUGCGGACAGUGUCUGGUGGGUAGUUUGACUGGGGCGGUCUCCUCCUAAAGAGUAACGGAGGAGCACGAAGGUUGGCUAAUCCUGGUCGGACAUCAGGAGGUUAGUGCAAUGGCAUAAGC
rnacentral:rRNA from 1 species